UCCUACGGGAGAAAGCAGGGGACCUUCUGGCCUUGCGCUAUCAGAUGAGCCUAGGUCGGGAUUAGCUAGUUGGUGAGGUAAUGGCUCACCAAGGCGACGAUCCGUAACUGGUCUGAGAGGAUGAUCAGUCACACUGGAACUGAGACACGGUCCAGACUCCUACGGGAGGCAGCAGUGGGGAAUAUUGGACAAUGGGCGAAAGCCUGAUCCAGCCAUGCCGCGUGUGUGAAGAAGGUCUUCGGAUUGUAAAGCACUUUAAGUUGGGAGGAAGGGCAUUAACCUAAUACGUUAGUGUUUUGACGUUACCGACAGAAUAAGCACCGGCUAACUCUGUGCCAGCAGCCGCGGUAAUACAGAGGGUGCAAGCGUUAAUCGGAAUUACUGGGCGUAAAGCGCGCGUAGGUGGUUUGUUAAGUUGGAUGUGAAAGCCCCGGGCUCAACCUGGGAACUGCAUCCAAAACUGGCAAGCUAGAGUACGGUAGAGGGUGGUGGAAUUUCCUGUGUAGCGGUGAAAUGCGUAGAUAUAGGAAGGAACACCAGUGGCGAAGGCGACCACCUGGACUGAUACUGACACUGAGGUGCGAAAGCGUGGGGAGCAAACAGGAUUAGAUACCCUGGUAGUCCACGCCGUAAACGAUGUCAACUAGCCGUUGGAAUCCUUGAGAUUUUAGUGGUCCAGCUUAUGCAACUAACAUGACCUGCUUCCUGGUCGGAG
rnacentral:rRNA from 1 species